rnacentral:rRNA from 1 species
AUUGAACGCUGGCGGCAGGCCUAACACAUGCAAGUCGAACGAGUGGCGGACGGGUGAGUAAUGUCUGGGAAACUGCCCGAUGGAGGGGGAUAACUACUGGAAACGGUAGCUAAUACCGCAUACCAUCGGAUGUGCCCAGAUGGGAUUAGCUUGUAGGUGAGGUAACGGCUCACCUAGGCGACGAUCCCUAGCUGGUCUGAGAGGAUGACCAGUCAAACGUGAACUUGGACACGGUCCAGACGCCUACGGGUGGCAGCAGGGGGGAAGAGUGCACAAUGGGCUCAAGUCUGCUGCAGCCAUGCCGCGUGUAUGAAGAAUGCCUUCGGGUUGUAAAGUACUUUCAGCGGCGAGGCGUUACCCGCAGAAGAAUUACCGGCUAACUCCGUGCCAGCAGCCGCGGUAAGAC